rnacentral:rRNA from 1 species
GGGCCUACGGGACGCAGCAGUGGGGAAUAUUGCACAAUGGGGGGAACCCUGAUGCAGCGACGCCGCGUGAGUGAAGAAGUACUUCGGUAUGUAAAGCUCUGUCAGCAGGGGAGAAGAAAGACGGUACCUGACCAAGAAGCCCCGGCUAACUACGUGCCAGCAGCCGCGGUAAUACGUAGGGGGCAAGCGUUAUCCGGAAUUACUGGGUGUAAAGGGAGCGUAGGCGGGACUGCAAGUUGGGUGUCAAAUCUACCGGCUCAACCGGUAGCCG